rnacentral:rRNA from 1 species
UACGUAGGGGGCAAGCGUUGUCCGGAAUUAUUGGGCGUAAAGAGCGCGUAGGCGGUCCGAUAAGUCGGCUGUGAAAAGUCCAGGGCUCAACCCUGGAAAGCCGGCCGAUACUGUCGGACUAGAGUCCGGAAGAGGCGAGUGGAAUUCCCGGUGUAGUGGUGAAAUGCGUAGAUAUCAGGAGGAACACCGGUGGUGUAGACGGCUUUCUGGACCGGUAACUGACGCUGAGACACGGAAAGCGUGGGUAGCAAACAGG